UACAGAGGUCUCAAGCGUUGUUCGGAUUCAUUGGGCGUAAAGGGCGCGCAGGCGGCCCGGAAAGUCGGAUGUGAAAACUCGAGGCUCAACCUCGAGCGUGCACCCGAUACUGCCGGGCUUGAGGCAGGUAGGGGAGAUCGGAAUUCCUGGUGUAGCGGUGAAAUGCGCAGAUAUCAGGAGGAACACCGGUGGCGAAGGCGGAUCUCUGGGCCUGUCCUGACGCUGAGGCGCGAAAGCUAGGGGAGCGAACAGG
rnacentral:rRNA from 1 species